CCCCGGGAGCCAGACUGAAAUGGAAUGACCUGAGUGGAGCACAACGUUCCCAGCGGCUUGCGGUUGGUGCAGUCAUUAAACCUGUUGAGCUGGGUGGAAGGGGAAUGCUUGUGAAGGCAUUAAGCUUUUGGCCUCUUGCGAAUCACUUGAGUUUUCCUGACUCAACAGUUUAUGUAGGUCUGAUUAGUGUCUUGGCAUGGGCUAAACUUUCCCAUGCUUCCCAGCAGCACUAAGCCUCCUGGGUUUUAAGGAGCUGGGUGUUUUUUUGUUUGUAUUUCUUUCAGGGAGUUUGAAUAAUAGUUUCUGAACACAUCGAUCGCUGCCUAGUAAUGCAACCCAUGCAGAGGUGAGCUUUUAGGAACGCGAGACGGUAGAGGAGUUUGAAGUUUGGCUUUGGAUAAAUAUCCUGAAGUCUGGACGUCUCACCAGACCAUCUAGAGCACCCGGGUUUGCAAAAUGAGCUGAAAAAGAAAUCUGAUGAGAGCAGAUUCUCUGCAUCCAGAGCAGUACCGGGUGAAUCAGUGGAUUCUGGGCAAGUCAUUCCAUCCCACUGUUAUGGGCAUGUCUUCACUGCAUAGUUAACCCAGGUUCUUACCUGGGUUUUAGCCCAAUUCUCCCCACCAUCCACACAAAUAAACCUCUGACCCAGAGUCACGGGGUGCCCGACUCACCCUUGGAGCGCCUCCUUGUGGCCACAGCUGGGGAUUAGCUCUGCCAGUUUGGCAUCUCUUUCUUCAGGUGCUCACUAUCAGAACUGCACCAUCUUCCUGGCUUGGUCCUUCGGCCAGGUCACUGUAGUUUUCCCCCUCUGGGGUGUGUACCAAAGUCUCUCUGUACCAACUGUCCCAGACAAUCUUCCAAUUUGUUGCCCCUCAAUGGUGGCACUUCUCUAGUGGCUGGGAGGGGAACCCACCAGGUUCCAGCCCAGGGACCCUACAACCAGCGUAGGGUCUGUACUGUCCCACACCUUGGUGCUGUUUCCCUGGACUGCUUCCUACCGUGCCUCUGUCGGGCUCCUUUUCCACCUUCCUUCAGAUAUGUCCUUCUCUCUAGGCCUAGCUCCCUACCCUCAGGGUGAGUGACUGCAAACCUCCUCUCUGCAGCCCACUUCUGUCCUCAGUUAUCUGGCUUUAUACAAGGCCUGCCUGUUCCUGCCCAGAAGAGUUUCAUCAUAGAAUCAUAGAAUAUCAGGGUUGGAAGGGACCUCAAGAGGUCAUCUAGUCCAACCCCCUGCUCAAAGCUCCUUUAAUUAGUCCUCAUUGCUCUCUGGCUCCUCCAGGUGUAGGCAGUUAAUUGGUCCUCCUAGCCACAUUAACUCUUUCAGGAGCUGGUGUGGGGUGAACACCCCAUCACAGCCAGGUUUGUACAAGGUUUAAGGCCGGGCUCCUGUUUAACUUUGGCUAGAUCCUCUCCAUUACGCAGUGAGGCUGCAGGCUCACUGGAGUUCUGAUAGUCCUCCAAUGCCUUCCCCCAACCUGGAGGACAGACACGUUCUCCUGCAAGUGACUGUGGAAGGAUCCUAGACUAGCUCAGCAUAAAGAACCAUGGGCUAUGCCCCCAGACACACAUGGGCAGAUGCAGGAAGAGUAAGGACAUGGGGACAUGGGUAAGGCUUUGCAGUGGUGAUGCUCAGCCAAUCACCUGAGUUAACUGUGCAGUGAAGACCUGGCCUGUGUGCUUCAGUUCCUUCUCCCACCUUGUGUCUGCUUAGAUCAUCAAUACUUUGGGGGAAGGUACUGUCUUUUACGAUGUGUCUAGCUCAACGGGGCCAGGAUUUUAGCCUCUAGGUGCUACUGUAAUGCAAACAAAGAUACCAUUUAAUAUUUGAAAGCUCUGGGCCUUCUGUGCUAACAAGGAUCAUGUGAGGACACAGCUGCCCAUUAGCUGCAGGGCAGGGGUUGUAGAUCCCCUUGUCUGGAAGGCUGUCACUUGUAUUAGGCAGGGUGAGGAGACCUCUCCUUUAGCAAGGCCUGGGGGAAUAUUGCCCCCAGUUCAAGCAUGUCUGGCAGCAGUGCAGGAACGGCUUUCGGUUAGGCUUGGUGCUGACUGGCUCCCGGUGACUGCUCUGUGUUCCAGCUGAGCAAACCCCACUGGAAAGGAACCCAGCAGCAGGUCAGAGUGAAGACCAGACACCAAGCCAUCUUCAGCCGCAUCCUCCUCGUCUGCUCUCUGGCAGCAACCGGUGGCAGCUUCUGCUGGUUUAUGGCUCCUUGGUUCACCCACCCAGCAGGGAAGCAGUUAAGAACUGUGCAGUACUGUCUGCUCCUCAUCCAUGCCAAUACGUGGGGCCCUUCUUUCAGAUGGCUCUGGAGAUCUUCACUCAUUUCCUGUGUUCUCUCUCAUAGGCCCCACAGGCCGUUUUCAGGCCUUUCCCCGUUAAUCUCUCGCAAAUGCAUUUGAAGAGCUUUCUUUUCACCUGAAAUGGUUUGCCAGUCUCUGUUCAGUCCCACUCCCUCUCGCUGUCUCAUUCCUCUGGUUCCCCUUUUUAAUUUGCCUUUGCUUAUUUUAAAUACAUAGCUCCUCCACGGCAGAGUGUUUAUAGUUAUAAAAGCCUUCUGCUGAUUGCUUAUGCUGCUCCUUAUAUCCCUACUUAACCGCCUUGGCCUCUGGUGCCAUUUCCUCUUUUCCGAAUGAUCCAGGAUGAAUCUCCGCCCCAGUCCCCAGCUGUUUGCUAGAUUGUUCCCAUAUCUCUGGACCCCUUUUUCCCAGACACUAAAGCAGUCCAGUCAAAAUUCCUUCCCUAGAGUGUUUCUCAUCUCUUCAGUCACCGUCCCUGGAGUCAGAAACAUACACGCCACUGAGUCUCCUUCAUUACCAGAUGUUUCCUUCCCCUUCCCGUGCCCCUGCGUUGCUAGUGCCGCCUAAUGCCAGAAGCAGGGAAGUACCAGAUGCCUGUGGGGUGGUGUAAUGUUAGUAACCUAAACUAGGACCGUAUAGAUCAUUGUUGCAACCACUGUUCUAUAUUUGCAGCAAAUCUUGUACAAAGGUUGUCGUGUGAUGUGUCUAUAAAGAGGUUAUGAUUUGCUGGUUAUGAUUCUGCUAUCUGUAUGUGUGUAUCACUUUUGUAUUUGAAUUCUGAAUAUGGGCUAUGUACUUGUAUCUCAAAUGUAUUUGAUUUCAAGUAGCCAGAGUGAAGCAUUUGGUCAGCUUCUUGAGAAGGGACUAUUCUCAGUAAGUGCCCAAUCAAGAAACGCUUAACUGACAAGGGACUUCGGGAGACACCAAUCCACAUCUGAGCUUUCCUGGGAACAUUCAAACUAACAGUAAGAACAAAGUGGUGUUCUUCCAUGGGCAGAGGAUAUAAAAGGCCCUGAAAAGUCCUCCAUCUUGUCUUCAAUCCUGCUUCUUACCUCUGGAGGGACUUUGCUACAAACUGAAGCUCUGAACAAAGGACUGGAUGACCCAUCCCACCUGUGGAUGUACUCCAGAGACUUCAUUUGAACCUGCAGUUUAUUCUAUUACUGCUACAAGCCUGAACCACGAACUUUGCCAUUACUGUAUGUAAUUGAUUCCAUUUAACCAAUUCUAGCUCUCAUCUCUAUCUUUUUCCUUUUAUGAAUAAACCUUUAGAUUUUAGAUCCUAAA